AUGGAGAAGGAGCGAUCACGCGGUGGCGCCGGCAGUGAUGGGGACGCUGUGGAGGACGACGGUCUCCACCGUGAGGCCGGGGCCGAAGCCGAAGAGGACGCCCCAGUCCAUUCCCUCGCCGGUUGUGGCGUGGCCAUCCUCGGCGGAGCGCUUGCGCAUCUCAUCCAUGAUGAAGAGGACACAGGCACUGGACAUGUUGCCGUACUCGGAGAGGACAUGCCUGGUCGCGCGCAUCCGCUCCUUGUUGAGGUUUACCUUGGCCUCCACCAUGUCAAGGAUGGCUGGGCCGCCUGGGUGCGCUAUCCAGAAGACGGAGUUCCAGUCGUCGAUGCCCAGUGGCUUGAAGGCCUCCUCUAG
rnacentral:rRNA from 1 species